GAGUUUGAUCCUGGCUCAGAACGAACGCUGGCGGCGUGCCUAACACAUGCAAGUCGAACGUGAUCCAGAGCUUGCUCUGGUGAAAGUGGCGCACGGGUGAGUAACGCGUGGAUAACCUACCCUGGUAUCCGGGAUAACAUUCCGAAAGGGGUGCUAAUACCGGAUAAGCCCACGGGCUCUUUGGAGCUUGCGGGAAAAGGUGGCCUCUAUUUAUAAGCUACUGUAUCAGGAUGGGUCCGCGUACCAUUAGCUAGUUGGCGGUGUAACGGACCACCAAGGCGACGAUGGUUAGCUGGUCUGAGAGGAUGAUCAGCCMCACUGGAACUGAGACACGGUCCAGACUCCUACGGGAGGCAGCAGUGGGGAAUUUUGCGCAAUGGGGGAAACCCUGACGCAGCAACGCCGCGUGAGUGAUGAAGGCCUUUGGGUCGUAAAGCUCUGUCAGAGGGGAAGAAAUGAUAUAGUGCUAAUACCACGUUAUCUUGACGGUACCCUCAAAGGAAGCACCGGCUAACUCCGUGCCAGCAGCCGCGGUAAUAC
rnacentral:rRNA from 1 species